rnacentral:rRNA from 1 species
UAAGCAUAUCAAUAAGCGGAGGAAAAGAAACUAACAAGGAUUCCCCUAGUAACUGCGAGUGAAGCGGGAAAAGCUCAAAUUUGAAAUCUGGCGGUUCUUGGACCCGUCCGAGUUGUAAUCUAGAGAAGUGUUACCUGUGCUGGACCGUGUACAAGUCUCCUGGAAUGGAGCAUCACAGAGGGUGAGAAUCCCGUCUUUGACACGGACUACCUGUAYGAYAUGGUGCGCUCUCGAAGAGUCGAGUUGUUUGGGAAUGCAGCUCAAAAUGGGUGGUAAAUGCCAUCUAAAGCUAAAUAUUGGCGAGAGACCGAUAGCGAACAAGUACCGUGAGGGAAAGAUGAAAAGAACUUUGGAAAGAGAGUUAAACAGUACGUGAAAUUGCUGAAAGGGAAACGCUUGAAGUCAGUCACGUCGGCUGGGAAUCAGCCUUGCUUUUGCUUGGUGUACUUUCUGGUUGACGGGUCAGCAUCAAUUUUGACCAUCGGAUAAGGUCAUUGGGAAUGUGGCAUCUUAGGAUGUGUUAUAGCCCGUUGUCGCAUACGGUGGUCGGGAUUGAGGAACUCAGCACGCCGCGAGGCCGGGUCUUUUGACCACGUUCGUGCUUAGGAUGCUGGCAUAAUGGCUUUAAUCGACCCGUCUUGAAACACGGACCAAGGAGUCUAACAUGCCUGCGAGUGUUUGGGU